GAUGAACGCUAGCGACAGGCUUAACACAUGCAAGUCGAGGGGCAUCGGGGCGAGGAGCAAUCCUUGCCGCCGGCGACCGGCGCACGGGUGAGUAACGCGUAUGCGACCUGCCCGUUGCAGGGGGAUAAUCGGGAGAAAUCCCGUCUAAUACCGCGUAACGCCGCGGGGCUGCAUGGCCCUGCGGCCAAAGGGAGCGAUUCCGGCAACGGAUGGGCAUGCGUGACAUUAGCUAGUUGGCGGGGCAACGGCCCACCAAGGCGACGAUGUCUAGGGGUUCUGAGAGGAAGGUCCCCCACACUGGUACUGAGACACGGACCAG
rnacentral:rRNA from 1 species